CUAGUCAAGUUUUAUUGACGAGACAUGUUUAGGUCUAGUCAAGUCAGGUUUUAUUGACCAGACAUGUUUGUCAAUAAAACUUGAUUUGACCUAAACAUGUCUCGUCAAUAAAACUUGACU
rnacentral:pre_miRNA from 1 species